rnacentral:rRNA from 1 species
UACGUAGGGUGCAAGCGUUAAUCGGAAUUACUGGGCGUAAAGCGUGCGCAGGCGGUUUCCUAAGUCAGAUGUGAAAGCCCCGGGCUUAACCUGGGAACUGCGUUUGAAACUGGGAGACUAGAGUGUGGCAGGAGGGGGGUGGAAUUCCACGGUGUAGCAGUGAAAUGCGUAGAUAUGUGGAGGAACACCGAUGGCGAAGGCAACCCCCUGGGUUAACACUGACGCUCAUGCACGAAAGCGUGGGGAGCAAACAGG